CAGCCAGCAGAGACGCAGCAUGCUUGCACAUCUCAGCCCCAGGCUGCUCAAGACGUGUAUCCAGUGGCGGCUGCUAGAUCUCCAGAGUGGUGUGUGCGUCAUCAGCAGGUGAGGCUGUGACCUCUGUGCUGGCAGCCAGUGUGCUGUAUUUGGC